UACGUAGGGGGCAAGCGUUGUCCGGAAUUAUUGGGCGUAAAGCGCGCGCAGGCGGUCUCUUAAGUCUGAUGUGAAAGUCCACGGCUCAACCGUGGGAUUGCAUUGGAAACUGGGGGACUUGAGUGCAGAAGAGGAGAGUGGAAUUCCUGGUGUAGCGGUGAAAUGCGUAGAGAUCAGGAGGAACACCAAUGGCGAAGGCAGCUCUCUGGUCUGUAACUGACGCUGAGGCGCGAAAGCGUGGGUAGCAAACAGG
rnacentral:rRNA from 1 species